UGAGUACGAGCUGCUACGGCAGCGAAGUGGGUGAUGUCAAACUUCCAAGAAAAGCCCUAUACCCGUUAAGGCAUGAUGGCCUGUACCCGAAACCGACACAGGUGGGGUGGUAGAGAAUACCGAGGGGCGCGAGAUAACUCUCUCUAAGGAACUCGGCAAAAUGGCCCCGUAACUUCGGGAGAAGGGGUGCCACCGCAAGGUGGUCGCAGUGAAGAGGCCCAGGCGACUGUUUACCAAAAACACAGGUCUCCGCUAAGUCGCAAGACGAUGUAUGGGGGCUGACGCCUGCCCAGUGCCGGAAGGUUAAGGAAGCUGGUCAGCGUAAGCGAAGCUAGCGACUGAAGCCCCGGUGAACGGCGGCCGUAACUAUAACGGUCCUAAGGUAGCGAAAUUCCUUGUCGGGUAAGUUCCGACCCGCACGAAAGGCGUAACGAUCUGGGCGCUGUCUCGGAGAGAGGCUCGGCGAAAUAGAAUUGUCUGUGAAGAUGCGGACUACGUGCACCCGGACAGAAAGACCCUAUGAAGCUUUACUGUAGCUUGGUAUUGUGCUCGGGCUCGGUAUGCGCAGGAUAGGUGGAGGCUAUGAACCAUUGCUUGUGGGUGAUGGUGAGCCACUGGUGAGAUACCACACUUUCCGAGCUAGAGUUCUAACAGCCACCCGUUAUCCGGGGGCUGGACAGUAUCAGGUGGGCAGUUUGACUGGGGCGGUCGCCUCCUAAAGGGUAACGGAGGCGCGCAAAGGUUUGCUCAGGCUGGUUGGAAAUCAGCCGACGAGUGUAAAAGCAGAAGCAAGCUUGACUGUGAGACCUACAAGUCGAACAGGGAGGAAACUCGGCUUUAGUGAUCCGACGGUUCUGCGUGGAAGGGCCGUCGCUCAACGGAUAAAAGUUACUCUAAGGAUAACAGGCUGAUCUCCCCCAAGAGUUCACAUCGACGGGGAGGUUUGGCACCUCGAUGUCGGCUCAUCGCAACCUGGGGCUGAAGUCGGUCCCAAGGGUUGGGCUGUUCGCCCAUUAAAGCGGUACGCGAGCUGGGUUCAGAACGUCGUGAGACAGUUCGGUCCAUAUCCGGUGCAUGCGCAGGAAUAUUGAGAGGAUUUCUCCCUAGUACGAGAGGACCGGGAGGAACGCACCUCUGGUGUACCAGAUAUCGUGCCAACGGUAAACGCUGGGUAGCCAUGUGCGGAGAGGAUAACCGCUGAAAGCAUCUAAGUGGGAAGCCCACCUCAAGAUGAGUAUUCCCAUGGGGUAACCCAGUAAGGUCACGGGAAGAACACCCGUUGAUAGGCUCUACGUGGAAGCGCAGUAAUGUGUGAAGCGGAGGAGUACUAAUAGACCGAGGGCUUGAGU
rnacentral:rRNA from 1 species